rnacentral:rRNA from 1 species
AGUGAACGCUGGCGGUAGGCCUAACACAUGCAAGUCGAACGGCAGCACAGUAAUUGCUUGCUCUUACGGGGGGCGAGUGGCGGGCGGGUGGUGAAUACAUCGGAAUCUACUUUUUCGUGGGGGUUAACGUAGGGUAACUUACGCUAAUACCGCAUACGACCUACGGGUUAAAGCAGUGGAUCUUCUAACCUUGCGCGGAUGAAUGUGCGGAUGUCGGGUUAGCUAGUUGGCGGGGUAAAGGCCCAGCAAGGCGACGAUCCGUAGCUGGUCUGAGAGGAUGGGCAGCCACACUGGAAGGGAGACACGGCACAGGCGCCUACGGGAAGCAGCAGUGGGCAAUAUUGGGCCAUGGGCGGGAGCCUGAUCCAGCCAUACCGAGUGGGUGAAGAAGGCCUUCGGGUUGUAAAACCCUUUUGUUGGGAAAGAAAAGCAGUAGGAUAAGACACGGCUGUUCUGACGGUACCAAAAGAAUAAGCAACGGCUAACUUCGUG